GUAGGUGGCAAGCGUUGUCCGGAAUUAUUGGGCGUAAAGCGCCCGCAGGCGGUUCUUUAAGUCUGAUGUGAAAGCCCACGGCUCAACCGUGGAGGGUCAUUGGAAACUGGAGAACUUGAGUACAGAAGAGGAAAGCGGAAUUCCACGUGUAGCGGUGAAAUGCGUAGAGAUGUGGAGGAACACCAGUGGCGAAGGCGGCUUUCUGGUCUGUAACUGACGCUGAGGCGCGAAAGCGUGGGGAGCAAACAGGGAUUAGAUACCCUGGUAGUCCACGCCGUAAACGAUGAGUGCUAAGUGUUAGGGGGGUUUCCGCCCCCUUAGUGCUGCAGCUAACGCAUUAAGCACUCCGCCUGGGGAGUACGGCCGCAAGGCUG
rnacentral:rRNA from 1 species